ACACGACUACGUAGUUUGAUCAUGGCUCAGAACGAACGCUGGCGGCAGGCUUAACACAUGCAAGUCGAACGCCCGUAGCAAUACGGGAGUGGCGGACGGGUGAGUAACGCGUGGGAACGUACCCUGAGGUACGGAAUAACCGAGGGAAACUUCGGCUAAUACCGUAUGAGCCCCGCAAGGGGGAAAGAUUUAUCGCCUUGGGAGCGGCCCGCGUCGGAUUAGCUAGUUGGUGGGGUAACGGCCUACCAAGGCUUCGAUCCGUAGCUGGUCUGAGAGGACGAUCAGCCACACUGGGACUGAGACACGGCCCAGACUCCUACGGGAGGCAGCAGUGGGGAAUCUUGCGCAAUGGGGGCAACCCUGACGCAGCCAUGCCGCGUGAACGAUGAAGGCCUUAGGGUUGUAAAGUUCUUUUACCCGUGACGAUGAUGACGGUAACGGGGAAUAAGCUCCGGCUAACUUCGUG
rnacentral:rRNA from 1 species